UGUUAAAAAUUUCAUCUAAAUCUAGUGAUAAAAACUAGUAUGGCUAACAAAACAACUAGACAACACGCCUUGUAUAACUCAUGCUGACGUAUAAAGAUCAGCUUUUAAUUGUAGAAAUAUAUGAAACUUUUAACA
rfam:Gossypium raimondii Chr03_contig_98, whole genome shotgun sequence.